GCCUGGCCGGGACCCGCUGAUCCAGCCCAACCCUUCGCCUCCUGCCGGCUCCGGAGCAGCGGCUGGUGGCCUCUGGCUCUCGCGGACGGUGCGUACCACCGGAGAGGCAAGCACGACUGGGCACCAGCUCCGGGCUCCAGGCUCCCGACGCUGCAUGCAAUGGCGAACAGAGGCUGAGGUGGUGGCGCCGGAGCCGGCACGUCCCACCGCCCGGGCGGAGCUAGGGGCACCGGCUCUCUCUACCAGGUUUCAUUCUAGUCUAGGGUGCACAGCCCUAGGAGAUACUGGACUGCUGGUCUGGACGCCAGGUGGACACCAGACACUAUUGGGCACAGGUAGAUCUCUCUCUGGGACAAAUCUGCCAAACAUUUUCCCAAGCCCCCAUCAGCCUCUUGUAACUCAGAGAUUGAGCUCUCAGCACCAGGUCUAAAAUCUAGCAUCCAGAUGUCUGCUGCCCUCAGGGCUCUCCUCUGCCUUGGCGGCCCCCCUACUCCUCUCUCCCACCCCCGCCAUGGUGCAACAUGUCAGGCAGGUGGCCUCAGGGCCUUUGCACAAGACCCUCCCCAUGCCAGGAGGGAUCAUCCUCUGUGAACUCCUGCUGAAUUCCCCCAGUCACAGGACUGUGCACCUCCAAUAUUGGCCACAUGCGACCGCUGCCUCUGCACCCCCGACUGUCUGGAAUCAAGAACAGACCCUUCCUCCAAGUAUCUUCACUCCACCCAGCGCUCACACAGCCCGGGGCGCCUGCCAAAGGGAGCCUAGCUGAGCUCUGGUCACACGCAGUCACCGCCAGGAGGCGCCCAUCCCAGCCGCUGGGCUGUCCUUGCUCCUGCUGCGGACCGCUGUCCCUUGGAUGCCCAGUCUCCUCCUCCUGAUCCUCCAGCACAAGGCGGCAGCGGGGACAAGUCUUGCUAGAGCAGAGCAGAGACUUCCAUGUGCAAAUGAACCCUGGAAAUCCCGGUACCAGAGAAGUCCAGGGCGCGGAAGCAGCACUAUCUGGGAGCCCCUGAAAGGCCUUCCAGGGGCAUCAAGCAGAAGGUGGCUUCAGGAUCUAUGCUUUCUGAUUCAGCGUGAAAAGCCAGCCGACAGGUGGGAGGACACGCCCCCACCCCACCCCCACCCCCGCACCCACAGACCGGCGGAGUCUCCUUGUAGUGUUCUCCCUCUUCCAGCUCUGGACAGCCCCAUCUGAUUAAGCCAAAGCACCCAAGUGCUUUCCACUUGUUCUAAGGUGGCUUCCUCACUCCCCUGAUCUGCUUAAUUUCCUCCUGGCCUGGCAUGAUUUCUUUUGGAUCUGGGCAUAUGCUAAUUUACAUAGCUGGCAUCUCCAUAUUUUCCUCCAUGUGAACAUUUUUCAAUUAGCAAGUUUAUAUCUCUCUUUGAUGCAAAAGUACUGGCAAGAUUUUUUUCCCUCACCUAAAAUCAGAAAGCUCUGCAGAUUAGAAGGCUGGUACUAUUGGCUUGAGCCUUAAUUCAUGUGCAUAUAUUUGUGUGCACACAUGUGAUGUAGCGUGACAAUCUUGGUCCUGAGUCUCACUGCCACACUAAGGUAUCAUCAUGUUUGAGUAGGAGUUAUUUGUCCCUUUUUGUUUUAGAGGCUGGAAACAGAAGACCCCUGGUGUCAAUGUCCAGCUUGCAUGCAGCUCUCAGCAAAAGCAAAGCAUUCUGUGUAGGGCCCCAGGCUGGGAGAGGGCAAGCCAUGAUGUAUGGGUGCUUCCCUGUCUCCUUCAAGGGGAGUCUUGCUUCACUGCUGCCCGCACCAUCCUUGGUAAUAGGCAGCUUGGCAAAAGAUGUGUCCCAAGCCCUGAUGUCUUGGGCCACUCUUAACUUUGCACAAAAGCUGGAAACGCAGGUAUUUGGGCUUUCAAAGAGCCUCAAAGUAGCCCACAAGCUUUUGCUGUCUCCUACUAGAGGCCAGCUGUGUCCCUGUAUCACAGUGCUGUGAGCCCCCUUCUGUACCAUGCUCCAUACUAAAUUCCAGAUGACACAGA